GACGUAGGGGGCAAGCGUUGUUCGGAAUCAUUGGGCGUAAAGCGCUCGUAGGCGGUCGGUUAUGUCGGAUGUGAAAAUCCAGGGCUCAACCCUGGACCUGCAUUCGAAACUGAUUGACUUGAGUCCAGAAGAGGCAAGUGGAAUUCCCGGUGUAGCGGUGAAAUGCGCAGAUAUCGGGAAGAACACCAGUGGCGAAGGCGGCUUGCUGGGAUGUGACUGACGCUGAGGAGCGAAAGCUAGGGGAGCAAACAGG
rnacentral:rRNA from 1 species